rnacentral:rRNA from 1 species
GCUUGCUUUCUUGCUGACGAGUGGCGGACGGGUGAGUAAUGCUUGGGAAUCUGGCUUAUGGAGGGGGAUAACGACGGGAAACUGUCGCUAAUACCGCGUAUUAUCGGAAGAUGAAAGUGCGGGACUGAGAGGCCGCAUGCCAUAGGAUGAGCCCAAGUGGGAUUAGGUAGUUGGUGGGGUAAAUGCCUACCAAGCCUGCGAUCUCUAGCUGGUCUGAGAGGAUGACCAGCCACACUGGAACUGAGACACGGUCCAGACUCCUACGGGAGGCAGCAGUGGGGAAUAUUGCGCAAUGGGGGGAACCCUGACGCAGCCAUGCCGCGUGAAUGAAGAAGGCCUUCGGGUUGUAAAGUUCUUUCGGUAUUGAGGAAGGUUGAUGUGUUAAUAGCACAUCAAAUUGACGUUAAAUACAGAAGAAGCACCGGCUAACUCCGUGCCAGCAGCCGCGGUAAUACGGAGGGUGCGAGCGUUAAUCGGAAUAACUGGGCGUAAAGGGCACGCAGGCGGUUAUUUAAGUGAGGUGUGAAAGCCCUGGGCUUAACCUAGGAAUUGCAUUUCAGACCGGGUAACUAGAGUACUUUAGGGAGGGGUAGAAUUCCACGUGUAGCGGUGAAAUGCGUAGAGAUGUGGAGGAAUACCGAAGGCGAAGGCAGCCCCUUGGGAAUGUACUGACGCUCAUGUGCGAAAGCGUGGGGAGCAAACAGGAUUAGAUACCCUGGUAGUCCACGCUGUAAACGCUGUCGAUUUGGGGGUUGGG